rnacentral:Y_RNA from 1 species
GGGCAGUCAGAAGGUAGUGAGUUAUCUCAAUUGAUUGUUCACAUCAGUUACAGGUCAAACUCCUUGCUCUACUCUUUUCCCUUUUCUCACUGCUGCACUGGACUAGUGUAAU